AUUGAAACAGGACGGGUACAUCUGGCAUAUGUGUAGCACAAGUUGUUAGUUAGACUUUGCAAAGCAUCGGCAGUAAAAUCAUUUUCAUCCCACAAAACAUGAUAAUGAGCUGGAUGGCUUGUACCCUGUAUUCCGGCAUGACUGCAUAGAUAAAAGUCAAACUCAGUCGGAUGGCAGAUCUUAGAAUCCACAACAGUUCCAGGUAAUAUGUUGCCACUGCGAUCAACAGAGCUCUUGUCAUGGUGGUUAUUGGCAAAGAGCCUAGUAUGAUGACGUUUUUGAACCACCACAAAAGUCACAGGAGGCUGACAUGUUCAUGAAGAUAUUCCAAACCCUUGGCAGCUUCAAGUGCUAUUCUCAAUCGAGUUUCCCAAUCUAAAUUAACAGAUGUGACACUCGAAUUGUUAUUGCUGACAGGAUAAAGAUGUUCUUGCAAGCCACCAUUCUCCAUAAAUUCAUACACCAACAGCUUAUGAUUAUGAUCAGAACAGUAUCCAAGCAAUGCAAGCAAAUAUGGCGAAUGCAACCGGCUUAGCAAUUCCACCUCGACUUUAAACUCUCCUUCUCCUUGCUUUCCUGCUUGAUCCAUCAACUUAAUCNCCUCCCUUCUUCUCAUGACGACUCAUCGCGAGCAGUGUAGUAGAGAAUUGAAGAGGACGGUACAGGUUAUAGAGAGCGAUUUCUCACCGCAGCGUGUCACAACAGCGGUCAAUAUUUUGGGAGCAGGACUAAUCCAUAUACACAACACGGCUAACACAGCAUAAAGGCUUAUUUUCUUUUUUCAUCUCUUGGCUGCAUACUUCCAAGCCAACUUCACUAGAAAACACUGAAAGGUCCUUUCCCAUAUUGUCCACCGCACUUCAGAUUUUCCACCAAGCUGAGCUCAUCCUCUUGGGAGGAAAUAUCUUCAUGCGAGCUAGGAAAAUGGAUAACUGAUCCUUUCAAUUCCGGCCUACUGUCCUUUCAACGCUCCUCCAAGGAGGAGCCAACGUGGAAGUCAAGAAACGUGAAACAACGUAAGAGGUGGACAUAGAACUGCGAGCAUAGUCCACUGCGGUAUCAUAGUCCAUCUGUCUCAUUUAUGGAUGUCCCAGAAUUACUUCAAUAGUUUUGUACACAGCUGUUGAGUUUGAGGGGUGUUAUUUGGCACUAACUUCUGUAGGCCUGGAAAGGUAGCCACGUUCUUGUAUUUGACUGAAAAGUGCCUCUUCUCUCAGGAUUCAUCUUGCUAACAAGUCCUGGUAUUCCCUGAAAAUAAUGCGAAACAAACUAAAGAUUUUGCUUUUUUGCAUAUGGCAAUGAAUGGAAUGGAUGCAUGUUUUUUUUUGGAUAGGUUCAAAGGUCCGAGGUAUGGAUAAUUUCGAUCUGCUUUUUCCAAAACAGGGUUCUCCCGGGUAUGAUCUGGGCUUUGUUACAAAGGAUCCCCAGAGUCAUUGAUUCACAAGACAUGUUUGACGCUUACGGGAAAUACUUUCCGGUCGUCAACUCCAUAAGGGAAAUCUAUUCUGGUAGGUUCUCCGUACCGACCCUUACGAAGUAUCACCUCGGGAAGUCGUAACUACGCAACCACGGACUGGGUUUCUAGACAGGGUACUCAGAGUCAUUGAUUGCAAAGAUGUUUGACGCCUUACGGAAAAUACUUUCCGGUCAUCAACAUCCAUCUAGGGAAUCUAUUCUGAGCGAGGUUCCUCGUAAUCGAUCUUACGAAAGUAAUCCACCUUCGGGAAUCCAUACUACGCAACCAUCAUUUCUAGUUGGUCAAAGGUUCAAUGUUUCUAAAGGUUCUUAGAGUCAUGGACCCUUUGAAACAUCGAAAGCUUAGCGAGGUAUACACCUCGGGGCGACAAUAUUUGCAAAAGGAUAUACUCCUAAGUGAGGUUCUCGUACCGAGUCUUACGAAGUAAUUCACCUCGGAGUUCGUACUACUCACCAUCGCCUAUCUUAUGUUUUUUUCACUCUAAGACUCGGGUGUAGAAGUCUUUCCCCAAUGGUUUGCAAUCCAAAUACCCAGUACCAACCAAUGCACAAUAGAAACGCAAUAUCCAACGGAUAUAACAAUAUAACAAUAAAAUAAAACAAACACACAAUUACAAACAAACACAGGCCACACAGAAUGUCCUAAAGGCUUGAACUUCACUUAGGGAUUAUGUAUUCCCGCAGCAAGAGUCGCCAUCUGUCGUACUCAAUAUGAAAAAAUGGGGAUACGACUUCAAAGCGAAGCGCGAUCCCAACGCCGCAAUGAUGGACUUGAACAGAGUCGCCACCGAACUUUAAUUAUUCCUAAAAAGGAAAGGGGAAUAUCGAUAAACCCAAGACACAAAACGACAAUGAAUUAAUUGGUCGUCGCAACCAAAUCAGAGGUUCGGAAGUUCGAUUACGCAAGGGGGAAGGUAUUUAGCAGCCUCACGUCCGUUGUAACUCAAACGGGAAACCAUUAGGUCAGUUGUGUGCAUUAAUAUUAGUUUGGAAAUGUUUAGGGGCUUUUCAAUUUAUUAUGUGGGAAAAGAAAGAAUAAGAAAGGGAAAUGUUUUUGGAUUUUUUUGACAAAGGACAUAAACGCUAAGUUUUUUAUUAGUGGCCUGACCAAAGAUUUACAAAUCCUGCUCCUAAACGUAAUCUCAGUAGAGAAAUGCAAGGCUUACGUAGUUCUGGGUAGAAAAAUGUUUUUGUUUGUUGGUCGAUUUUAGUGAAAGCUAUACUGUAUUAAAUCGACGAAACAUUCUUUUACCACAAAACAUAUGAAGGACGUGGACGCAUACACACAUGCGAACGGAUUAUACAUCCUACAUUCGGAAAAGCGUCACUUAUCUGCUCCGACUCAACAAUCGUGGCCGAAACAUUGUUUUGUAUCACUUAAGCAAGAUACCUUUCCGGUUUAUGAAAAGGUUUUUUGAUUAGUUGCACGGCAGGCGAGAAAAAGAGUUUGAUUGGCUUGAUGUUAUUUUGAGUGAUGGCGAGAACUUGGAUGAAGCGUAGAAUAUACAUCCGAAUCCUAGCCUCAGGAGUGCACCGGUAUACACAAUGUUCCAAUUUCCAUCUUUAUGAAAGAAGUUUAAAGAUAGGAAUUAAGUAUUUUGGAAUUUGAUUGAGAAAGGGUUUGAAAGAAACCGCAUGACAAUUUUAGAGCGAUGGCGAGAACUUGAUUGAGCGAGAUAUCACCAUCUCGAAUCCUAGCCUCAGGAGUACAUGGUAUUCACCAUGUUCCAUUUCCACCCAUAUUGAGCAAAGUGUAAAAAAGAAUUAAAUUAUUUUGAGUUUUGUUGUGAAAAAUGGACUUGACCAUAGAUCAAGUAUUGAUGGACGUUCAAGAGAAAUUGAAUGAGUGUUUAGAAGAAAAAGGAGUGAUAAAUUUGGAUGAUGCCGAGAGCUAGGAAUUGGGCGAGAUAGUAACAUCUCGAAUCCUAGUCCAGGAGUGGCGCGUAUACGACCACCACGUUCCACUUCCAUCUUUAUUGAAGGUGUUUAGAAUAUGAAUUAAGUAUAUUUUUGAGUUUAUUAUGAAAAUGGGCUUGACGUUGAAUCAAGCGUUUGUUUUAUGAAAGUUUGAAAGAAUGGAAAAGAAAUGGAGAGACGAAACGGAAUUGAGUUUGUUUAUUGAGAAAAUACUCGAUGUUGGAUGCGAUGUCAGUAUUUUUGUAUUUUUUGGAAUCGGUUGAUUUUAUUCUUAGUGUUAGUAAAUCUAACUAAACAGUCAAUACCAAAUAAGAAAUGAAAAACAGUAAAGAUUAAUUACACAAUCGGGGGAGUGGCGGUACAUUUUGUCCAAAUGGAGAUUCAAAGUCAUGAAAUAAUUUUAAAAGCCGGGCCCAAACAACAAAUGAAUGGCAAAGUAUUGAGUGUAAGUGGCAAGAGAACCGGCUCAUUUGUAGGAAAGCCCAGAGUAAGCUAUGUGAGGUUGGAUGGCGAUGCUUAAAAGCAAUCGACUUACAUAGGGUGGGUGGAAAUGGGCUCGACGUUAAAUCGGGAGAAAGUGUGAUUUUUAAUAAGUUUAAUGGUUUUUGAAAUGGAUGGAAUUGAAUUAAAAGAAACAACUGUGCUAUUAAACAAUAAUGAAAACUAUGAGCAUAAAUAAAAAACAUAAACUAUGGAAAAAAUGAUGCUUAAAAGAAAAUAAAAUGCCAUAUGUGGUAUCAAACCCAACUCCACUAAAGACUAGAAACUACCCUCUCUCCACUAGACAAUUAUGAUUCAGUUAUUAUUUAAACAAACACUUGGUAUAUAAACCAGAACAGAUUGAAUAAAGUUUUUUAAAAUAAUAAAAAUAAAUAACUAAAAAUGAUACUCUGUUGGUUUUCCAAGAGAAACUUAAUUGGGAAGACCAACAUGAAUAUUGCUACAUUAUCCAUAAACCAAAGUUAAUUGACACUAAGGGAAACCUAAAUGGUCACUAAUGGAUUUAAAAGUCUGCUUAAUAAUGUUUAAUUAAGAGCAAAUAAUUAAAAAAAAAAAAAUUAAAAGGAGACACAAACGAAUUCCCAGAACUCAUCGUCCUCACACCUCUACGAACGAAGUCUCUCUUCUUCAAUCUCAAAACCUCCGCGUCCCAACCUUCACUCUCACAAAUCAUCUGCUCUCCUCCUGCACCUCAGUUGUCAUCCUCCCAAUCUAAGCGCAAAAAGAUAAAGAAACCAUGGUUCCAAGAGAAAUGUUGGACAGGACGGCUCACCUUUGAGGUGACGCGAGCUCAGGUGAAUCCUUGAAUCUAUCCCUCACCCUCUUCAAAAAAUGGUUUUGCUUUGAUUUGGGAUUAGGUUUUUGUAGUAUCUUUUUUCUGCUCUCAUUUUCGUCCUCGUGUCUCACUGAUUCCUUCCCUAUUUACUUUUACGAAUUAGGGUUUCAAGAUUGGCAUAUGGAGUUCAAAAGAGUAUCCUGCAAAAAUCUUUUUUGGGUUGUCAGGUUUCGGUCCCCCUACUUGAUGUUGGAUUUGGAACAGGUAUAGCUGAGCAUGUGCUUUCUUCUUCAUUUUUGUCUUAACUCUGUUUUGGGUAAUUUCUGAAAUUUCACUGCUUUGUUAAUUGCUCUAUUAACUGCAGUGAAAAAAAUUGAAGAUUCAAAGGCGGUUCGUUUUUGAUCACAUCUUUGGAUUGCUAUGGUUUGGGUUAAGCAGUCACGGUUAACAUGAAUUAUGGCGGUAUGAUCGUUAUGGACCAGGGGCAUAAUUGAAAACAGGACGGUACAUCUGGCAUAAUGUGUAGCACAAGUUGUUAGUUAGACUUUGCAAAGCAUGGCAGUAAAAUCAUUUUCAUCCCACAAAACAUGAUAAUGAGCUGGAUGGCUUGUACCUGUAUUCCGGCAUGACUGCAUAGAUAAAAGUCAACUCAGUCGGAUGGCAGAUCUUAGAAUCCACAACAGUUCCAGGUAAUAUGUUGCCACU
rnacentral:lncRNA from 1 species